rnacentral:rRNA from 1 species
UACCUACGGGAGGCAGCAGUGGGGGAUAUUGCACAAUGGGGGGAACCCUGAUGCAGCGACGCCGCGUGGGUGAAGGAGUGCUUCGGCAUGUAAAGCCCUAUCGGCAGGGAAAAAGCAAGACGGUACCUGACUAAGAAGCACCGGCUAACUCCGUGCCAGCAGCCGCGGUAAUACGGAGGAUGCGAGCGUUAUCCGGAUUUAUUGGGUUUAAAGGGUGCGUAGGCGGAAUGCCAAGUCAGCGGUAAAAUCGCGGGGCUCAACCUCGCUCCGCCGUUGAAACUGGCGUUCUUGAGUGGGC